rnacentral:lncRNA from 1 species
UCAAAAGGAGGUUAUAAACUGUUAAGAAUGUAAGUCUUUUCUUAAGUUUUGAAGUUUAGUCUUUUUUAUUUUUUGGAUUAGUUUUUGAGUAUUGUGUUGGAUAUUUUUAAGUUAAGAAAGUGAUCAAAAUCAUCCCAAAAUCGUGCCGGAUGUUUGAGAGAAAAAGGUCAUUAAUAAAGCCGAAACUCUACUAGAAUUAAGAUUAAGACU